CAGUCGCCGCGGUAAUACGUAGGAGGCAAGCGUUGUCCGGGAUUAUUGGGCGUAAAGGGCUCGCAGGCGGUUUCUUAAGUCUGAUGUGAAAGCCCCCGGCUCAACCGGGGAGGGUCAUUGGAAACUGGGAAACUUGAGUGCAGAAGAGGAGAGUGGAAUUCCACGUGUAGCGGUGAAAUGCGUAGAGAUGUGGAGGAACACCAGUGGCGAAGGCGACUCUCUGGUCUGUAACUGACGCUGAGGAGCGAAAGCGUGGGGAGCAAACAGGAUUAGAUACCCGCGUAGUCCCUGUCUCUUAUAC
rnacentral:rRNA from 1 species